rnacentral:tRNA from 1 species
GGAAGGAGCCGUGGUUCAGUGAUAGAACGUCUGCUUGGCAUGCUGAAGGUACCAAGUUUGAUAUCUGGUAUUUCCA